UACGUAGGGGGCAAGCGUUGUCCGGAAUCAUUGGGCGUAAAGCGCGUGUAGGCGGUUCGGUAAGUCUGCUGUGAAAGUCCAGGGCUCAACCCUGGGAUGCCGGUGGAUACUGUCGAACUAGAGUACGGAAGAGGCGAGUGGAAUUCCCGGUGUAGCGGUGAAAUGCGCAGAUAUCGGGAGGAACACCAGUAGCGAAGGCGGCUCGCUGGGCCACACCUGACGCUGAGACGCGAAAGCUAGGGGAGCGAACAGG
rnacentral:rRNA from 1 species